rnacentral:rRNA from 1 species
AGCGAACGCUGGCGGCAGGCCUAACACAUGCAAGUCGAACGAACCUUUCGGGGUUAGUGGCGGACGGGUGGGUAACACGUGGGAACGUGCCUUUAGGUUCGGAAUCACUCAGGUAAACUUGUGCUAAUACCGAAUGUGCCCUUCGGGGGAAAGAUUACUCGCCUUUAGAGCGGCCCGCGUCUGUUUAGCUAGUUGGUUGAGGUAAUGGCUCACCAAGGCGACGAUCUGUAGCUGGUCUGAGAGGAUGAUCAGCCACAUUGGGACUGAGACACGGCCCAAACUCCUACGGGAGGCAGCAGUGGGGAAACUUGCGCAAGGGGCGAAAGCCUGACGCAGCCAUGCCGCGUGAAUGAUGAAGGGCUUAGGAUUGUAAAAUUCUUUCACCGGGGAGGAUAAUGACGGUACCCGGAGAAGAAGCCCCGGCUAACUUCGU